AUGGCUCAGGACGAACGCUGGCGGCGUGCUUCAUACAUGCAAGUCGAACGAGAAAUUCACUUCGGUGAGUGGAAAGUGGCGGACGGGUGAGUAAUGUGUAGAGAAUCUGCCCUGGAGAGGGGGACAACAGAGGGAAACUUCUGCUAAUACCCCAUAUGCGCGUAGUUGAGAUACUAUUCGUGAAAGAUUUAUCGCUUCAGGAUGAGUCUGCAUCUGAUUAGCUAGUUGGGGGUGUAAUGGACCACCAAGGCGACGAUCAGUAGCUGGUUUGAGAGGAUGAUCAGCCACAAUGGGGCUGAGACACGGCCCAUACUCCUACGGGAGGCAGCAGUAGGGAAUUUUGCGCAAUGGGCGAAAGCCUGACGCAGCAAACCGCCGCGUGAUCGCAGACGGCCUUCGGGUUGUAAAGAUCUGUCAGUAGGGACGAACAAUGACUGUACCUACAGAGGAAGCACCGGCUAACUCCGUGCCAGCCGCAGC
rnacentral:rRNA from 1 species